rnacentral:rRNA from 1 species
UACGGGGGGAGCAAGCGUUGUUCGGAUUUACUGGGCGUAAAGGGCGCGUAGGCGGUCAGCACAAGUCAGUUGUGAAAUCUCCGGGCUUAACUCGGAAAGGUCAACUGAUACUGUGCGACUAGAGUGCAGAAGGGGCAACUGGAAUUCUCGGUGUAGCGGUGAAAUGCGUAGAUAUCGAGAGGAACACCUGCGGCGAAGGCGGGUUGCUG